UGGGGAAUAUUGGGCAAUGGGCGCAAGCCUGACCCAGCAACGCCGCGUGAAGGAAGAAGGCUUUCGGGUUGUAAACUUCUUUGACAGGGGACGAAAGAAAUGACGGUACCCUGAAAACAAGCCACGGCUAACUACGUGCCAGCAGCCGCGGUAAUACGUAGGUGGCAAGCGUUGUCCGGAUUUACUGGGUGUAAAGGGCGCGUAGGCGGGAUGGCAAGUCAGAUGUGAAAAUUAUGGGCUCAACCCAUAACCUGCAUUUGAAACUGCUGUUCUUGAGUAUCGGAGAGGCAGGCGGAAUUCCUAGUGUAGCGGUGAAAUGCGUAGAUAUUAGGAGGAACACCAGUGGCGAAGGCGGCCUGCUGGACGACAACUGACGCUGAUGCGCGAAAGCGUGGGGAGCAAACAGG
rnacentral:rRNA from 1 species